AAUUAGCCAAUUCUUUAUUUUCAAGUCCCAAGGGACGUAUGUACAUGUCAGUGUGUUUCAUAUAUUGACAACUAAGCUUCCAGUGCAGCAGGAAGCAUUAUGUGUCAGAAAAGUAUGUUAUGAAGUGCAACAGUGAAUAUAAAUAUUCUGUCUGUUUUGUUGUAUGGAAUGGACCAUGCUGGGCACUAACUGCUUGAAACAAGUUUAAAGAUGUUUAUAAUAUUUCUGUGAAAGAUUAUUUUAAUUAACAGUGAUUGCUUUAUUUUUUAAUAAAAAAAAAAUCUAGCUUUAAGGAACCAAUGUGACAGGUGGUGUAAAAAUAAUUGUUCGUUUGAAGCUUCCAGACAUUAGAAUGACAAUUAAGCUAGAAUGAGUGAAAAUAAGAGGCCGCUUAGUAAAGAAUGGGCCAUUUACUUUAAAUCCAUUAUGUACCUUCUUUCUUCUUCACUGCUUUGUUCACUGGCUCUGGAGUGAAGUAAAAAGGACAAGUGCCGCUUUUUAGAUAUUCUUUAUAUUGUGUUUAUCGUGGUGGUGGAAGAAAGUGAAGUGCUUUGGGUGAAUAAAGAAAUUAGCAUUUUAUAGCAGCUGUAUUAAUGCAGAAGAAAGAAGUUUUUAGUAUUUGAGUAUAACAGUAAUAAAUACCUGAAUUGGCAUUUCUCCUUUAUAAGACUUCUGAAAAUGGAGUCUUACAUGAAACGAUAGACAAGAUUUUAGCUUCUGUAGUUGAUGAAUCGUUUUUUUCCCCUAAUAUGAACAAAUUAGCAUUCUCUAAUUGAACUUUGUUUUAGAGAACUUUUAAAAAACUGAUGCGAAAUAAUAACACUUCUGUGUUUUGAAUUUGUUGUUUUGAGGAGUAACUGGUGAUUUGGAAUUGAGUUGAGUUGUUGGAAUUGAGUCAGCUGUUACUGACUUUUUUUCUGUUGGAAAAAUACGAGCUGCUUUGCGUUUGAUCUACUUUAACAAAAUGACUGAAUUCUACGAAAUAGUGGAGGCAGUUGGUAUGGAUGUAAACAGAACACUAACAUUGGAGCAUUUAGCAUCCCUGUCCUCUACCUUUAAUGUGAGGCAGAAGUGGAGAAUUUUUUAUUAAUGAAGAGAUUUUGGUCUAUUUACAAAGGUGAUUGUUGAUGUGGAAAUUUUAAUGCACCUGUUGUACGUCUCCUUAAUGAAUGUAGUUUCUAAUACUUAAAUGUCAGAGGUUGAAGUGAUGCAUGUAGUUUUUUUUCCCUGUUGAAAGUUACAGCUUAUGAACUGGUGCCUGUUGCCUUUGAGGCCUUUUUUACUUUUUUUUUAAAAAAAGCUAGGAAAAUGAUCCUUUGUUUUGAAAGGUACGUUAGGGUGGGAAAAAAUCAAUGUGGAAUUGUGAAAACUCUUGGAAGAAAUAAAAGCAUUCUAAAGAGCCUGAUUGCAGAAUUAAUAACAUAAUCUGGGUAAAGAGCUGCAAUAGUAAAUUAAAUUCACUGUCAAUAGAUGAAAAUGAAAUGGAUUUUCUACAUUAUACAUGAGGGGGUAUCAGAUAUGCAAGGAUGUUACAGAAAAUUGGUGUUUAUGAAGAAUAUUCCAAAUACCAAAUUACGAGCCUUUUCAUUUUACUACAGUUUAUUUACACUCACUUGGAAAGGACGCUCCAAAGAUUAGAUCUUUUGUUCAGUGCUCUAGUAUAGUUCUUUUGUUUUCUGAUUAAAUCAGAAUUACUCUUUUUUUGCGUGUGUGUGUGUAGGAAAUUGUAAAGAUAAAACAGUAGUAGCAGAAGAACUUUUGAAAAGGAAAAAUUAUCAAGCUAGAAUAACAUGAGAAAAAUGUUUGUGACAUUUUUUCCCUUAAAAUCAGUAGCAAUCAUAUAAAUAACUAGGGCAGGGAGGCUCAAGCAUUUUCAUGCUAACAGGUGCAAAUGAAGUUCCAGUUUGACUUCAUACAGUCUGCCUUGAAUUUGCAGCUAUGUUGUGUCACAUACAAAGUGUUUUAAGGAAGUUGGUGACUGAUACCUGCUGAAGCAUGGAACAGGGAUGGGAAACGGAUUCUAGCAUGACUAGCUCUUCUUAGUCUUUCUGUUUGCGUCUGACCACCAGCCCAUGGAAUUUUCGGAGGUCCUGGCAUUCCUUGAGCUGAUGACUUUUGGGUUUCUUCCAGUUUCUCUUGCUCAUAUAGCAUUAGGGAAUACAAACCUUGUGAAAGAGCUAAGGUGAAGAUACGGUUUAUUUUUCUUACAAAGUUUCUUAAACAAUUAUUCUGUUUUCCUAAUAGGUGUUACUUAGUCCUUAUCUCUGCUUGUGAUUACAAAUGUGUUUAAUGUAUAUUUUGCUAUUCAAUGUUCUGUUGUUGAAGCUUCUGUGAAACUCCUCUGUAUUUCCAAAAAGUUUUAGAAAAGUAAGUUCCUGUUUGGAAAGGAGGAAAUUACAAAUAGUUCCCAUGAUCUAAUAGUGUUUUUUCUUUCCCUCUGUGAUAUAGGACUUCAGUAUGCAGACUGAUUUCUGUUGGAAUUAUUUUUGUACGUCAAAAGGUGACAUAAUUACUGAAGAAUUAUAUGGCAGCUCUAAUUACAAGAAAUUAAAGGAAAACCAGCUUUGCACUGUACAUCUUAGUUUACAAAAUAGGAAGCAGUAUAAAAAUAUGUUACUGUCCACUAGGGUCUUAUUUUUUGAGUACACAAUUUAUUGUUCUCUUUUCAGGUUACCUGCUGACUUUCUCUAAUUGUCCGGACUCCUGUAAUUUGACUUUGAAUAUUGUGCCUAGAUUAUCCCCGAUUCUUUUCUGUUCAGGCUUGUCCCCCAAGAUUAGCAUAAAUGAAUUGAAAAUAUCAAAAUAUACCCUACUUUUAUACUAAAUGGUAUUGAUCCUUCUUGUAAAGAAAUACAGGGUGUAUUGACUAGUAGGUUUUGGUCCAAAAUUUAAACACAGAUUUAGUCAACGGCUUAAAGAAGUGGCUAUUCUGUAAAGCUAUUUUAAUGUAUGGUUUUAGUUUGCAUAAUAUCGAAAAGAUUAGUUCUGUUGUAUGAAGCUGUCAUUGUCUUAUCUGUUUAUAGUGACCGCCGGACUGAAAACUACUCGGGACAUAUGUAUAUUUUCCAUUGCGAGCGCUGGCAUACACUCUCGUUUUCUUUCUCUCAUGCGCACUCUCACUCCGCAUUCCUGCCCCAGUCUCUCCCAUAUGCACACACAUGCACAAAAUUGUUGCAUCGCAUCACAUUGUUUAUUUUGCAACAGGAUCUUGCCUGAUCUGAACUUGGUGCUUGAGUGAGUUUGAGCUUGGUCAGUGUUUUUCAAUUUAUUGGAAUAUGAAGCCAUACUUGUAGUGAAAUUAGAUCACAUCAAGAACAGAGAUGAAUAAAAACACAAUUAAGUGGGGAUAAGUUUUUACUGCUUUUAACAAUAUAUUAACUGUGUUGUUCUUAUAGCAGAUUUCUAAUCAGUAGUGGUACAAAUGUUGGAAGAAUAUAAAAUAUGUGAGUUUCCUCUCCCACCUUAUGUAGAGAGUGUGUGAAGUGUUGUGUGCCUAUUUUGUGCUUGUGACUUGUAUUUGAGAUGUUUUCUGUUUAAAUAUCAGAUUUUUGAAAAAUAUUCAUGUGUUAUGUGAGACAGUCUAGGUAAUCUUAGUACCCAGUGCCUUUCUGAAAAGUCCCCUAUUCUGACUCUUAAAAGUCUUUCAAACACAUUGAAUGUGUAAGUAACAACUUUACAGGAAUUUAUAAUUAAUAAGCUUAUGGCUUCAUUACUCUUAUAAACUGCUAGGAAGGAAAAAGGUAUCAUAUAUCAAGCUUGGUUUACCAUUAUUAUUUCCUUUAUAUAAUAAAGAGAUUGUCAUGUUAAUUUAUAACUCUUAAAAAUAAUAAUCUGAUAGGGAAAAGAAUGUUUUAAAAAUCAACACUUGAAAUAAUGUUGAAGUGAAAUACUGUGUUUUUUCAGCUAGGGAAGAGUAAAGACUAAUGGAGUUAUAAGUGAGAAUGGCUUUAGUUAUUAACUGUCUGUUGUCAUGGUUCCUUGAAGGGGUUUGUCAUACAUCAAUAAAUGCAUCUCAUUUUUGUUCUUGAUGCUUCUAUUUUUUUUUUAAUGAAGUGUUGACAUUAGCUAAUUGGAGACUACAUAAGUAUAUGUCUAAGACUUUCAGAUUCUGUUGUGAACCUUUACUCAUGUGAGUAACUUCAGGGGUGAUGGGUCUGAGGAAAUUACUAAAUAGUGAGUAGAGAUUUCAGAGGUGGAAUCUAGAGCUGUGUAGAUUUGUAAUCACUGAUCUUUGUGCUAGUUUAAAAAAAAAAAAAAAAAAGAGACCAACCACCAAAAACUCCCAUGUGUUGAUUGCCAGCUGUUCAGAGAGAUAAUUCUCAGUUGGACAGUUGUCUGUUGCCUGGUUACCGAACAGAAUAAAAAAAAGUUAGCUUGUUAGCCAGCAGAUCCUUAGUAUUUUACAUUUAAAAGGAAGCUGAAAUUGAAUAUGUAACUUGAUAGGAUCUUGAGAUUGUUACAUAUGUAACUUGCCCAGUGUACUAUCACUUAGCAGUUUCUCGUUUUGUAAGCUUAGAGAAAUUUUGAGGAGAAGUUCAAGUUGAAAUUUUGCAUGUACUUUUUUUCUACAUGUAGGGAUUUAUUCAUGUUUACGAGUGAAUCAACUUUGACAUAGUAAAUGGCUUUUGUUUGCAAGGAAGCACUGUGUCUUUGUCUUGUAUAGAAAGGUUUAUAACAACUUGUGACAGAUUUGGAAUGGUUAGUCUAACUUUAAUAAAUGAUACAGACUAACCUGGUUAGCAAAAUAAAGAAGAGAGUGAGUGCAAACGUUAUGAUGGAAAUGCCAUAUUUAAGUUUUCAUCAUUUAAUUGUGAUUGCUUUUACCUAGGUUAGAAUAAAAUUGAAAUCCAAAAUUUUUUCACUAGAUUAGAAAGUUUAUGUAGAUGAAGGUGCUUCUAUUAACAGUAUUGCUUUUUUUUUAUAAAGUCAGGAUUUCUGUAAAGCAGUUUUUCAUUUAACAAAAUUAAAUAAGAUUUUAAUUUUCCACUUUCAUGAAGUUUGAAAGUUCCAUACAAUACUUCAGUGGUAUUUUUCAGAUAGAUCUAAGUUUUAAGGGAUCUUUGACAGAACAUGGGUCUUACAGCUAAUAUUUUAAAAAUAUAAACAGAGAAUGUCUGAAUCUCUUAAUUGUUUUUCUCUUCUCCCUUGUGCAAUAAACAAAACGUGUUUCCUUUUCUUAAUACAUGCAACCUUUAACAAGCAAUAUCUUUUUCAAAUACUCUUUGAUCUUGUUUGUUCUUUAGUCAAUUGCAUUAACUUAGAUAUUGUCCUCAGUAGUUGACCACAGAAUUUAUUUUGUCAGUGAUCAGUACAUUUUUGGCCAGGGAAAAAAACAUUGGAUUUAGUAAAUUUGUCAGACUGGCUUUUAGAAAAGGAGCAUAGAGGGAUUUGAGAGGAGGGUUUGUGCCUGAUUGCUGUCUCAUUUCUGUCUUUGGACACAGUUCUAGCAUAUAGUUAGCAACAACUAUAAGGAUUUCACUGGCACACAUCUCUGAGACUCAUCGUUGCAUCCCACAGCAGGUGCAGUCAGCUUUGCAGUCCAUCUUAGAGAGGGCCUGUCAUCUCAGCAUUGACAGGAUCAGAUGAAAAAUACAAUCGAUGUGUUGACAUUUUUUUGAAAAUCACUCAGAUAUCACAGACUGGAAAUGUGAGCUUUGGCUGAUACUGCUGGGAAGGAGAGUGCGGCAGGCAGCUGUAAUUCCCAUCCUGUGAAGGGAGUAUGGAGUGGCACAGGAAGGAAAUGGCAUAUCGCUGGAAAGUUGCUCUAAUUCAGCACAGGAUUCUUAGUAUAGGUCAACAUGUUUCCAUUAGUAUCUGCUGCCAUGAUGUUCAGUUAUGAGGGAAGAGGAAUCUUGAUAUGAAUAUCAGCAGCUAUUUAUAAAAUCAACAUUAAGCUAGAAUAAACUUCUUAAAUUCAUCAGUAAAACUGAAGGAUGAAAAUUUAAUGCAAAAAGAUACUGUUUAUUCACCAUUUACAGAAUUCUUUUCUUAUUGGUCUAAUUGUGUAUAAGAUAUAGUAAAAAGGAUUGCUUGAUGUAUGUACAUUAAAUAUUGUUAUAUUGUGGUUGUGUAAUAGAAUGUUUAAAUGCACAGAAAUCACAUGUUAUUUUACUUAACUUUUCUAAGGUGUUGAUGAUUACAUUCAAGAAGUAUGCUACUCUUCUGAAUGCUAUGCUUUGUGGACUUUGAAUUUGGUGCAUUUCACAUUUGUAACAUUAACUGCCAUGUAAUUAAAUUGUGAAAAUAGCUGUUCAGCACAUAGCAUCAGAUGCUUACUCUUCUUUAUAAUAGAUGAAAAUUCUCACAUUAAAAUGUUUUGGUUUUAGGUUUGUUUAGUGAAUAAGUCACUAUAAUAAUGCUUCAGAUUUAGUGCAGAAACACAUCCAUAUCUGAAUAUCAGGUAUAUACAUAUAGUUGUUGUUGGUUUAUACAUUAAAAUUUAGUUUGCAAGGUCAUGGUAUUUUUAUUUUUCAUUAUUAUAUAUUCUUUAUUUUUAGAAAUGUAGAAACUUGGAGUUUUCAUAGUGUUGAAGUAUUUCAAUAUACAGUAACCUCUUUUUCCUUCUGCUAUGUGACUUAUAAUAUUUGUUUUAUGCUGAUUUAAUGUUUUCCUUGAGAAUACUUCCAAGGACAUCUUUGAUUAGAUUGAUCAGACUUAAUGAAUAUGUAUAUGUAUUGGACUAAAUUGUAGGCUGCAUUUAAAAAUAAACUGCCCUGUGUGUACCACAUUAUAGUAGAUUGCAUUGAAAGAACAGGGCUAUCUACUCUGAAUGUGAGAUCAAAACUUUAGCUAAAGUUUAUUUUAAAAUACUGUAAAAGUAAACACUAUAAUACAGAAAUUAAAUCAGAAAUUAAAUCAUUAGUUCUGAAUUAUAUUAUCCUAUAUUUUAUUUGCAGAGAUACUUUUUUUCUUGCCUUUUUUUUUUUUUUUAAUGCAUUCAAUGCUGGUUAAAAAUUGAAAGCUCUGUAUGGUUAAAAGAUGAAGUUCUAGAAGAAAGGCUGGGACACUAGGGGACAGAUGUUUUUGAUAGGAGUUAAACAAAAUGUGUCUGUCUACUCUGUGAUCUUGUUGCUAGCUGACACUAGUUAGCAUUUUUGUUGCAAAAUUAGAGGAUGGUACUCACAGAAAUGUCUUAGAAGGAACAUUCGGCUUUUAGAUAGUACCUUAGUAGAUUAAGAACUUUUCUAACAGUCUAUCUGGUGCAAUGUAAGAUGCUAUUCAUAUGUGUUUAACUGGUAAUCACUUUAGUUUAACUGAAAGAGCUCUUUCUCCUUUCUAAUACCUUUGUUCAUCCCACUUCAAAACAUUUGAAGUACUAGGGAGCGCUAUACUGACAGAUGGCAUUAUGAAAUGACUUUAUCAGAUUUCCAUAGAGGCUCUGUUUUUUGAAGCUGGUUUUUCUACCCUUCAUUCUUGAAAACCAGGUAUGACUUUAAAGACUCGAUUGUUAGAAAGAAAGAAAGAAAAAAAUGUCCUAGCUAAAUUAAGGUUAAUAUACAAAUUAUGGAUAAACUAAUUAUAAAGAGUACUUUUUUUUUUUUUUUUUUUAAAUUCUGUUCCAAACAAUAUUUCUGCAAGUUUCAAUAAGGCUUAAUUUAUUGAUGUUUGCUGAGCAAAUCUUUUCAGGAUGACCAGGCUAGAAUGGUUUUUCAGCUUGCUAUUGCUUCAGGACUGGCAAAAAUAAGGAGAUCGCAAAAAUUUUUUUAUUUAAUCAGUUGUUAAAGAUUCAGAACACAGAAAUCAUACUUGCUUUGUGGACGCAAAAUUUACUCCAGUGUGAAGUCUUGCUGUGAAUAUAGUUUAAGCAGAUAUUAAAACUUGAAAUGAAAAAUGAAGAUGCCAGUUGAUCAAGAACAACUUCAUAGUUGUGCAAUGCUCUCUGUAAAGAUUUUUAAAAAAUUUGUAUUGAUAAAUACUCCUAGUAUUUUGUUAUUAUUUCAUUAAUAAAACAUUAUUGAAUUACUUUUAAUGAAGGUAUUUUUAGUGAUUGCCAUUUUUGAAUUUAGCUUAAUUUCUGUUUCCAAUCACUACAAAAUUGGUAACAUAAACAGAUUUAGAAGAUAUGUUUCACAAAUAUUAUAUAUAACUGACAUUUUUACAAUAAGCAUUUGUGAAAUAACAAAAGUGUUAAUAAUAAUUUUUAGUUUUACUUUGUUUUACUUAACCAUCCCAAAGUUAAAAAAUUAAACUGUAUUUAUUUUAUAAAAGUCACAUCCUAAGGAUAAUGCUUGUUUUUGUAGGGAUUUUAACAGGAAUGAAUAUGUUUGUUAAGAUUAUGGAGUUUAGAAAUUCUUUAUUGUAGUUAAGUUAAUCAAUGCAGCAGGACCACAGAGAAUGGACCAAUAUGACCCAAAGAAACCUAGGGAAGUGUGAGUGAGAAGGAGAAAAUUAAUUUAUAGAUAAGAAUGUUAACUACAGGGAAAUGCUUUUGAAGGAGUUGGCAACAUGAGGUUUAUUGUUUUCAUCAAAUGAUUUAAACCUAAGCUGCCUGAUGAUAAGCAUACAACAAUUGCUAAUAUAAACCAGACUAAUGUUUUUAUUAUUACAUAAUGCUGGAUGGAUGUACUUUGUAAAGAUGACAAAUUUGGAUAAUAAAAGGUUCAUAAACUAUUAGAUAUUGAAAAUAUAGAAACUACUAAUUUUACUAACAUAGAAACUACUAAUUUCUACAAAUCUCAAAGAUUUGUUGUAACUAGGAAUUUGACUAGGAAUGGGCAUUUCCAUGAAAAGUUUUAUCAAACCUUCUCAACUUUAAAAUGGAAAUGUUGUUUUAGAGUGUUCUGUAAUUAAUGUCAGAAUUGUGGGGGGUUUGUUGUUGUUUGUUUGUUUUUUAGUGUUUUUUUUGAUACUUGGUAAAUUAGUAGCUGUAAAUGCAAUAAAGUACAUUUUAAAUGUUGUUAUUAUCAGUGCAUUUAUACAACUUAAUUUUGUGCAGGUUUUUUUAUGGCAUUGCGAUUUUCUUUCAAAGAAAUGUAUUUAAUAAUAUUAAAAAAUUAAUUCUAAGUAUGUAUAAUCAACUGCCAUUUAUGGAGUUCAUAUGAACAUAUCUUUACUGCGUUUGUUUUACAGAACAUUGCUUUUACAUUUGUGUGCUUACUUUGUAGUCAUUAAACUGAAUAUUUAAUAUAUUUAGAAGCCUUUUUACACAUUUCGUCUUAGUUAACUUUAAGCAGUUAUAGAAUAUUAUGUUUUGUGUACUCAUAUUUUGUGGAAGUUUAGCUAUAUUAGCCUGUCUGUUAACAUGGCAUGGACAUUUAAAAAUUUUCAUCGUUUCAUUAAAAAUUGUAGCUAUUUUUGUUUUCUUGAUGUAUUAAAUGGAUUUAUAUUUUACAAUUCAUUGCCAUAGGUGGAACUUUAUUCAACUUCAUGGUAGCUUCAAAAAUUCUUAGUAGACAUCUGUCUGUACUGUGUAAGUGGAGUAACACUUAGAUUCUCUCUAUGCAUACUUUACAUUCUCUGUCAUCUGUUACAGAGUUAUAUCUUGAUUCCUCAAUUCUAUCUUCCUGUGUAAUGACUUAGAAGACAUAAUGUCUGUCCUGAUCAAUUUUGCAAUGACCUUGUACUGAUUAAUGAAAUCUGACUUUCAGAAUAAUUAUCCCUUAAAUUACACUUCAUAUGUUGAGUAAUUUUUUAUACACAAAGUCUGACAAUGUGUAAAAUACAAAUUGUAUUUCAAUAAUAGCUUACUCAGGCUGUAUAAUGAUUGCUGCUUUCCUAAGCCAAUAGAUGAGGAAAAACCUUCAUGUUCAGGAAGGACAGUACCACAUGUUGAACUUGAAUGUCUGUAUUGCAUAUGUGUCAAUAAAGGUAUAUACAUAUGCA